UAGACAGACGCUCAUUGGUUAGAGCACUUAGCUGUUAACUAAGAACUUAAAGGAUCGAGGCCUUUCUGUCUAG
rnacentral:tRNA from 1 species